UGUUUCUCUGCCACCCUCCUCCCUCUAUCACUCUUUCGUCAUCCUCAUCACCCCUCCCUCUGUACGUUCUGAAGGAACAUCGCUUUCUAUUGGUGUUGGCCUGCUGUUAAUGUUGUGCAUCAUAGCCACGGUUACCCUACAAGAAGGAGGAGAGACUCUCUCUUUCUCUCUCUCUCUCUCUCUCUCUCUCUCUCCUCCCUCGUCUCACUCCCUCACUUGCCGACAAUGCGUCUCUCUGUAAUUGGAUUUUGAUGGGGUUUUUUUUCGCUUCCUGCUGAAGGACACAGUGUCGCAGACGGCCAGCCUGAGGAGAAGAGAGGUCUGUUUUCGCAGCAGUCAUUAUGCAGCCCCAUGCGGCGGAGGUGGCCCGCCUUUAUCAGACCGAGUUCGUCCGGAGUGCACGGGCUAUGGGCGUCCUGUGGGCCAUUUGCACGCUCUGCUUUGCAGUCAUCGAGGUGGUUAUUCUUGUCCAGCCGUCCUGGGUGGGCACGCGUGAGCUCCGUUACCUGGCCAGCAGUGUGGGUGGAAAGAUGCCACCUCAGACUGGUACGCUGGGCCUGUUCGAGGUGUGUGUGGAGUCAGACUGGCCAGUUCCAGAGUGCACAGGCUCCCUACAUACACUGACCCCGAUUCCAGCCUUCCAGUCACCGGCUGUACUGGUGUGCAUCUCACUUACCAUGGUGUGGGUCAGCGUUGGAUGUCUGUGUUUGUUUCGCUUCUGCAAUGCCGCAACCGUGUAUAAGAUCUGCGCCUGGCUACAGCUCACUGCUGGUUUCUGUCUGGCACUAGCCUGCGUGCUCUUCCCAGAUUCGUGGGAUUGUGCUGAGAUGCGUGCCCUGUGUGGAGACAGUGUUGAGAGUUUCUCUGCAGGAAACUGCAGCAUACACUGGGCCUACGUACUGGCCAUGCUGGGGGUGCUGGACGCCGGCAUCCUCGCCACGCUCGCCUUCGUCCUGGGCAACCGCCAGGAUGCGCUGCUCCCAGAUGACGCCAAGGAUGGUGACGUUACUGGGUUGUUACUGGAAGCAUAGCAUGGUGAUGGAGGGAUACCACAGGUACGGAUGUUACGAUGAAGCAUGCCGACAAUUUAUUAGUUGGUGGAGAAAAAAAAACGACGUGAGAACAACUUCCUCCUCCUCUUCUUCUUCCACUUCCUCCUCUCCCACAGCAUGACAUCAUCUCCCUGACACUUACAUAAAAACACCGCAUAGAAACUAGAGUCGGUCACCUAGCAACCGGAAUCAACGACUUCUCCAGCUGUAGGUGGAGGCAGGGAAAUAAGAGGACACUCGUUUUUCAUCCUCUGUCACCUCGUGAGAAGCGGACGGAUGUCGUCGUAGAUAGUCAUCAAAGUGAUUUUCAUAUUGUCUUGUUUCAAGAGCAUCAAAUGUGUUCUCUGUUCUUGUUCAGUUCCACUGUGUGAUGUGGUGUGGAUUGUAGGGUUCUUCACAGGGUUGUUAGUCUGCAACCUUUAUUCUAAAUAUCCUACAUCAAGCAAAACCAACAAUUAGGCCUCAGUGAAAGCAGAACUCUGAACCAGAUUUUUUUUUCCUCUCAAAUUGGACCUUGAAUGAGUCAUGAUUUAGUAUUUAGUUUUUUUAUUUUUAUAGAAUCAGGAUUUUAUAUACAUAAGGUGAUUUACUGAAUUUUCCUUCAUCUUUGGGAAUGAAACCAGGAAGCGCAUGCUUCAUUAUUCCCGGCGUUUAUUACACAUGACUUAAGCAACAAAUAUUGAGCUGAGACACGAGAUUGACAUCAACAUCAAUUUUUUAUUGAUUAUUAUAACGCGACAUUUUUUUCUCUUUUUUUAUUUCACAAUCCCACCUGCAACUUACAGAUGCAUAAGAUUGAUAAGAUUUCACAAGCACACAGACGGAGAAACAAACAAACAAAAAAGCAUAAAAUACAAUUAUGAUUUAAGACACGGUUUCUUGCACGUAUUCUCAGAUAGAGAGAGAGUAAUAAAGAACGGGAAAUCCAGAAAAAGGACAGGCGACGUGUCAAACAAAGAACUGUAUUUGAGAACGGGUUUGUCGACACGUUUAUGUACUAUAGCCACAGGCAAAGCUGGGUGGGGGUGGUUGAGGGUGGCAGGGGCGGGUUGGCAGAGCUACACCCAAUGACGUCCACGGCGAAGAUGGACAGACUGGGUUUCAGUAAUACACGCAGGUCAAACGCUGUCCGAACACCAGAUCAGAAAGAACCGACACAGUGCUCAGUUAACGCCUGAAGUUCAGCCGGACCUUAAAAGUUAACGGAAUAUGGGUGUGUGCUUCACUGCCAACAUCUGAGGUCUUACCACAAUGGAUCUGCUCUUUUUUUUAAUUUCUCAAUAACUGAGAUCAAUUUCAGAUUGAAAUGUGAAACAACAUUCUCAGUAGUCCUACAGGUUUUUUUUUUUUUUACUGUAAAACCCAGAAAAUCUUUUCUGGUGUGAACGUUGGUGUUAAAUCAUGAUCUUCUACUACUGCAUUCAAAUAUCUGACAGUUCCAUCAAUAAAGAGUUAUCAGUGAAAAUGUUGGUCUUAG